CUGCAUUCGAGAAACUGUAGAGAAUCAAAUUGUGGCAUACGACGGUGCGUGUGAGUUACAUUCUCUGCACUUAGCAACCGCCCUCUCUGUCUCUGCAAAGAGGAAAGAAGAAAGAGGUUCUACUGCUUUUUAGGGAUGGGAUCUGAAGAAGCAUGCAGAACUACGGUGGCAGAAUCAGUCAGAUAGUGAACAGCGAAGGUUGCUACCAGUUGAUAUUCUCAAGUGUACAGAUAGGACGGGAUUGUCAACACUAGCAGCCUGGUGUAUAGAAAGUUGAGAAGCAGAAUAAUUUCUGGUUUAGUUUAGCAGGGCUCAAAGAUUUUGUCAAAUAAAAACAAGUAAAUCUCAGUCAGUUACCAACCGCAUGCAUACAAACUUAGUACCUUCAGAAGGGUUGUGAUAUGAGGGCCUGAUUUUGCAAGUUGGUCAUGAGCUACACCCAGAAAAAG